rfam:Pteropus alecto contig87491, whole genome shotgun sequence.
GUCUACAGCCAUGCCACCCUGAACAAGCCCAAUGUCUGAUCUUGGAAGCUAAGCAGGGUUGGGCUUGGUUAGUACUUGGAUGGGAAACCACCUAGGAAGACCAGGUGCUGUAGGCA